GAUCAUGGCUCAGGAUGAACGCUGGCGGCGUGCUUAACACAUGGCAAGUCGAACGGAGUUUUAACGGAAGUUUCGGAUGGAAGUUUAAGAACUUAGUGGCGGACGGGUGAGUAACGCGUGGGUAACCUGCCUCAUACAGGGGGAUAACAGUUAGAAAUGACUGCUAACACCGCAUAAUAUAGCGAAACCGCAUGAUUUUGCUAUCAAAUAUUUAUAGGUAUGAGAUGGGCCCGCGUCUGAUUAGCUAGUUGGUGGGGUAAAGCCUACCAAGGCGACGAUCAGUAGCCGGCUUGAGAGAGUGACCGGCCACAUUGGGACUGAGACACGGCCCAAACUCCUACGGGAGGCAGCAGUGGGGAAUAUUGGACAAUGGGGGAAACCCUGAUCCAGCGAACCGCCGCGUGAGUGAAGAAGUAUUUCGGUAUGUAAAGCUCUAUCAGCAGGGAAGAUAAUGACAGUACCUGACUAAGAAGCCCCGGCUAACUACGUGCCAGCAGCGGC
rnacentral:rRNA from 1 species